CUAAUCAGCUUGUCAAGGAUACUAUCAGACUAGGGACCGGGAGACGUUUGGGGUAUUCUUGGGGUAGGGGUAAAAUCCUUUAAUCCCAAGAAGACCACCUGUGGCGAAGGCGCCNAACGAGAACGGGUCCGACAGUGAGGGACGAAAGCUAGGGGAGCGACCGGGAUUAGAUACCCCGUUAGUCCUAGCUGUAAACGAUGCCUGUUUGGUGUUGCGGGUCCUUCGUGGAUGCGCAGUGCCGGAGCGAAGGCGUUAAACAGGCCACCUGGGAAGUACGUCCGCAAGGAUGAAACUUAA
rnacentral:rRNA from 1 species